AUUGAACGCUGGCGGCAGGCCUAACACAUGCAAGUCGAGCGGAUGAAGGGAGCUUGCUCCUGGAUUCAGCGGCGGACGGGGGAGUAAUGCCUAGGAAUCUGCCUGGUAGUGGGGGAUAACGUCCGGAAACGGGCGCUAAUACCGCAUACGUCCUGUGGGAGAAAGUGGGGGAUCUUCGGACCUCACGCUAUCAGAUGAGCCUAGGUCGGAUUAGCUAGUUGGUGGGGUAAAGGCCUACCAAGGCGACGAUCCGUAACUGGUCUGAGAGGAUGAUCAGUCACACUGGAACUGAGACACGGUCCAGACUCCUACGGGAGGCAGCAGUGGGGAAUAUUGGGCAAUGGGCGAAAGCCUGAUCCAGCCAUGCCGCGUGUGUGAAGAAGGUCUUCGGAUUGUAAAGCACUGUAAGUUGGGAGGAAGGGCAGUAAGUUAAUCCCUUGCUGUUUUGACGGUACCAACAGAAUAAGCACCGGCUAACUUCGUG
rnacentral:rRNA from 1 species